rnacentral:rRNA from 1 species
GAUGCAGUGUAUGGAAUGUCAAAUUUCUAGUAUGAGAAAUUAACGAUUUAAGUCCUUCUUAAAUGAGGCCAUUUACCCAUAGAGGGUGCCAGGCCCGUAUAACGUUAAUGAUUACUAGAUGGCAUUUCCAAAGAGUCGUGUUGCUUGAUAGUGCAGCACUAAGUGGGUGGUAAACUCCAUCUAAAACUAAAUAUAACCAUGAGACCGAUAGUAAACAAGUACCGUGAGGGAAAGUUGAAAAGAACUCUGAAUAGAGAGUUAAAUAGUACGUGAAACUGCUUAGAGGUUAAGCCCGAUGAACCUGAAUAUCCAUUAUAGAAAAUUCAUCAUUAUGAUUUUAAUAUUAAUAAUAUUUAAAUAAUGGUGUGCAUUUUUUCUAUAGAGGACAUUGUAAUCUAUUAACACAAAUUAUAUUUAUCAAAAGAUCGAUAUGCACCAGUUUAUUCAAAUUAUUUUGCUUGCAAUUUAACAUAGAAUAAAUGCUAUGGAUUUGAUAAAGUGUUGAUAGAUUUAUUAUAUAUAUAGUGCUUGAAUAUUUUUAUAUUCUAUAAUAGCAUAUUAAUUAUUAAUUUUUAUGUUUAUUAUAUGCACUUAUAUGAUUAACAAUGCGAAAGAUUCAGGAUACCUUCGGGACCCGUCUUGAAACACGGACCAAGGAGUCUAACAUAUUUGCAAGUUAUUGGGAAUAAAAACUUAAUAGCGAAAUUAACAUAACUUAUAAUGGGAUUAAUUUUUAGCCUAUUAAUAGUCUAUUAAUUCAAUCCCGGGGCGUUCUAUACAGUUAUGUAUAAUAAUAUUUAUAUUAUUUAUACCUCUAACUAGAGCGUACCUUGAGCAUAUAUGCUGUGACCCGAAAGAUGGUGAACUAUACUUGAUCAGGUUGAAGUCAGGGGAAACCCUGAUGGAAGACCGAAACAGUUCUGACGUGCAAAUCGAUUGUCAGAAUUGAGUAUAGGGGCGAAAGACCAAUCGAACCAUCUAGUAGCUGGUUCCCUCCGAAGUUUCCCUCAGGAUAGCUGGUGCAUUUAAAGAUUAUGUAAAAUAAUCUUAUCUGGUAAAGCGAAUGAUUAGAGGCCUUAGGGUCGAAACGACCUUAACCUAUUCUCAAACUUUAAAUGGGUAAGAACCUCACCUUUCUUGGUAUGAAGGUAGUGGUUGUGAUAUAAUGUGCCCAGUGGGCCACUUUUGGUAAGCAGAACUGGCGCUGUGGGAUGAACCAAACGUAAUGUUACGGUGCCCAAAUUAACAACUCAUGCAGAUACCAUGAAA